CCUACGGGAGGCAGCAGUGAGGAAUAUUGGUCAAUGGACGCAAGUCGGAACCAGCCAUGCCGCGUGCAGGAAGACGGCUCUAUGAGUUGUAAACUGCUUUUGUACGAGGGUAAACGCAGAUACGUGUAUCUGUCUGAAAGUAUCGUACGAAUAAGGAUCGGCUAACUCCGUGCCAGCAGCCGCGGUAAUACGGAAGGCCCGAGCGUUAUCCGGAUUCAUUAGGCUUAAAGGGCGCGUAGGCGGGUGUGCAAGUCAGCUGUAAAAUCGCGCGGCUCAACCGCGCACCGCAGUUGAAGCUGGACGCCUUGAGUUCACAACAGGCAUGCGGAAUUCGUGGUGUAGCGGUUAAAUGCAUAGAUAUCACGAGGAACCCCGAGUGCGAAGGCAGCCUGCCGGGGUGCGACUGACGCUGAGGCUCGAAGGUGCGGGUAUCAAACAGGAUUAGAUACCCCUGUAGUC
rnacentral:rRNA from 1 species